rnacentral:rRNA from 1 species
GAUGAACGCUGGCGGCGUGCCUAAUACAUGCAAGUCGAGCGAACAGACGAGGAGCUUGCUCCUCUGACGUUAGCGGCGGACGGGUGAGUAACACGUGGAUAACCUACCUAUAAGACUGGGAUAACUUCGGGAAACCGGAGCUAAUACCGGAUAAUAUAUUGAACCGCAUGGUUCAAUAGUGAAUGACGGUUUUGCUGUCACUUAUAGAUGGAUCCGCGCCGCAUUAGCUAGUUGGUAAGGUAACGGCUUACCAAGGCAACGAUGCGUAGCCGACCUGAGAGGGGGAUCGGCCACACUGGAACGGAGACGAGGUCCAGACUCCUACGGGAGGCAGCAGUAGGGAAUCUUCCGCAAUGGGCGAAAGCCUGACGGAGCAACGCCGCGUGAGUGAUGAAGGUCUUCGGAUCGUAAAACUCUGUUAUUAGGGAAGAACAAAUGUGUAAGUAACUAGACACGUCUUGACGGUACCUGAUCAGAAAGCCACGGCUAACUACGUG